GUUUGUUGGUUGCUUCUAUUUUUUUUUUUUUUUUCUCUUUUUCUUUUUUUUCCUUUUUUUUUCUCUUGUUCGAAAUACCGGCAAACGUGGAAUCUGACGUAUUCUGUAGAUCAUGAAAGGCAUCAUAUUUUAUAUU
rnacentral:ribozyme from 14 species